CAUGGGAAAAGAAUUGAGGUCUGGAUUUUUCUCUGACGGCACUAGGUCUCUAGAAAACUCUCUGAAGCCGGUGGGAGUGGGUUUUACAGCUGCCUCUUGGCUUUUAAGGGAAGAACCAUCUCCUGUGUUUGGGCAGCAGCCCCGAGAGCGGCAGCUGCACAGCUCCAGUGCACCCCACCCCUGCUGGGACCUGCGCCAGAAGGAGGAGGUUUGGAGGAGAAAGACCAAAAGUUUGAAUUUGAUUCAGUGUCUGCCAGAAGGCAGGGACUGAUAAGGCUUGCUGGGCCCUUUGCGUCCCCCUUCAGACUCAACAGUGACACGGAAAUCGCUGAAUUCAGCCAGGGGAAGGCAGAUUGGCCAAUACUGUGAGCAGGGUGAGCAGGAUCAGGGCACAGGCUGCCCACAGCCUCAGAGAGCUUAUCCACCAGGCACGGGCAGCAGAGGACUUGGCUGGAGGGUGUGGGUGAUCCUCUGCACGGAUCCCAAAGGAAUGGUCCAGCUCAUGGCCAACCCAACGCCGUGUUUCACUCUUCCAAACUUUCCACUGCUCUGUCACUCUGAAGCCUGCUGCCAUCCUUUCAGACAGAGCUUAGCACAAUGGUUGGACGGCUGCUGCUCAUCCUGUUGAGAAGCCAGCAAGUUCCGUGCUCCACACUAACAUGCCCAUCGCAGGCUGAAGGCACAAGCCCAGCAGCGUGGUUGUGCUGCAAGAGGCAGGGAUGGGAGCGCAAAUUCUGGCAGCAGCCUCCUCUCCUGCCUGCGGCACGUCCAGGUAUUGGGCAACCCUCCCUGGGAGCUCCACCCUUGGAGAGCCCUUGGUCUUUUGAGAUAGAAGCCAACGCCCUUUCACAUGGCUUCUUGUACCAGCUUUUACAAUAUCUAUUGUAAAUAAAUAAAAAUAUCUAUUUGCA